AACCAAUGAUGUAAUGAUUCUGCCAAAUGAAACAUCAUGAUAUUACUCAAUAACCGUUCCAUUUUAAUUCUGAGGUU
rnacentral:snoRNA from 15 species